AAACAAGGAACAAUACCAACACCUGCAACGGGCACUUCUCUCAAGGCGACGACGCGCUGGCCCGCUGCCGCCCCCUCCUUCCCCCUCUUCUUUUCGAAACGCGUUUCACGUCUGCACUGCUCACCUCCGGUUUCUCGUGUUGGGUAUUGUCUGCGUCUCUGUGUGGUUGUGUCUUUGGCUCCCCUCUUCCCCCCCACUUGAAACCGUCCUCCGUGCGUGCGCGGGUGUUUCUCUUUUCUGUCUCACCCUAUACCCAUCGCGGCUGCACCAACAGAGUGCCUGGCGAAGAGCACAGAAAGGAGGGGUCGCACACUUUAGACAGGAGGAACGCCACGGCAGCCCGCCCUCCUCGCCCACCCGGCCGCCGCCCCACCGUCACCCUCCUUCAUUUUCUCAUUGUUACCUGCCUCAUCUGUUUUCCUUAGCUCUUGCUUGUGUAUCUUUUCUGGUAUAGCAGAUUCAAGUUGCACCCCCUCGCCCCUCCCUGCCACCACCUGUCUGUGUAAGAGUGAGCUCGUUCGUCUGCCCUCCGCCACCACACCCACCAUUCUUUUUUUACUCUCCUUUCCAUUUCGGUAGUACAUAGGCGCGCACACGCGCACAACGAGCGUGAGCCUUGUUCCCCCCCCUCGCCCCUCGCCUGCCGCCGCCGCCUCUUCCAGUCGUCGCAGCACACAAACGCACGCGAGCGGAUGUCGCGGUGCGCAGCUGUCACGACAAGGCGAUGGCCGGUACGGCGGGCACGGGGACCGUCGCCCCACCAGCUCUUUGCCGCCGCCCUGGCUGUUCUCUGUAUUUUGUUGCACCGCCCGGCCGCCGCGCAAGGCUCGAGCUCCAGCGACUACUACGAUGGCACAUACUAUUACCACGUCAUCUUCCGCAGCGCCCCGGGCGGUGGCGACUCGACAGAUGGUCCCAGUGGAGUGGGCAUAUACGGUGUAGUCGGCUACGGCGGCGCCAUGGUCGGCGGCGGGGUCGUGUUCUCGGACAUGGGAGGCAGCGGCUCUGCCAUUCGCUUGAUCUCCAAGGCAGGUUAUCUUUCCACCAUUGCCGGCAAUAACAGAAAGAGAGGCGACCAGGACGGCCCUUCCCCAGACGCCCUCUUCGGCGGCAUCCCUACUGGUGACAGUCGUGCCAACUCCCUCGCGUACGGUAACGGCGGCUUCUACUUGGCUGAUACCCUAAACAACGCCCUUCGCUUCACCAACGCCACGACGAAUGUGACAACAACGAUUUUAAACGCGAAUACCCUGAAUACGCCAAACUCGCUUGCCGUUUCGAUCAUCAGCAGCAAAACCUCCGUCUUCAUCUCCAAUACCGGCUACCAUAGUGUUCUAUAUAUUCCGAGCCUGGGCAGUCCGGUAGGGCAGGUGAACUUCACCAGCGACCCCUACUUCGUGCCAGGCGCGAUCACCGUUCUGUCCCAUCUCAGUCGCGCCUUCAUCAUGAACGCGACCUUGCAGAUGUACUGCUGGUCUUACAUCCAGCCCAGCUCCAAGUCGUGGAAGGUGAGCACGCCUCUCGCAGCCGACUUUGGUCGAAUCCUUCAAGCGAGCAAAGACGGUACCCAGGUGUUGUAUGUGACCGCCAACGGCAGCACAAUCGCCGGUCUUGACGCGACAGCAUCUUCGGCUACCUCGCCGUCGCUGGUGCCGCAGAAAAUGAUCGACCUUGACACUUCGUUGAUCGGCGGUAAGAUUCAGCUCUUCUUUGAGCGUACCUCAGACAGUUGGUACAUCCUCACCACUACCCAGUUUUUGAUUGUCUCAGCGACCCCUAUCCAUCCGGAAGAGAGCAGCAGUAGCGGCAGCAGCAGCAGCAGCAGUAGCAGCAGCAGCAGCGAAGGCAUCCUUUCAGGUCGUCACAAAGGUAUUGCAGCCUUCCCUACAGCAGCCUUUCCCACCAACGACAGCUGCCUCAUGACCCAGGUCUACAACUGGAUGCGCAUCGACGCUACGGAGGCGUACAACACCGACGACUUUCUGAACGAGUUCGUGGUACCUCCAACAAACAUCACGACGCUCGUGGACGGCGACGUGAACGUUUCGACGUGGUGCGGCAACAUUACCACCGACCGCAGCAACGACGGCACGAUUUCGAUUUUGAUAUUCUGGGGCCCGCGAGGCCACGACGUGUUGUACACGCAAGAUCGCUUGGUGAAAUCCCCGUGGAAACGGACGCGAGCGUUUUUGAACUCGCUGAAUAGCAGUGGCUGGAACCUUGGCCCCUUCUGCUUCUACAACUGCACUACCGCCUGUAAGACGAUCACGGCCCCCAAGUGCCCCGCGUACAACAUCGGAUCGGCGUGCGACGACGUGUGCAAGGGUGCCAUCGCGUCCUCAGUGGUGUUAGCAGCGGCUGGCGUCGUGCUCCUUAUACUCAUGAUUGUUAGUCCAUCGAACAUCUUCACGGCGGUGGUGAUGGUGCCUAUCAUUUAACUAGAGAUCACGCCUGCCCUUCGCUGUUUUCGUUGGACUCUGCGUGCGUGCGUGCGUGUGCGUGUUUCAAUGUAAAAAAAGGCGGGGCGCGAAGGAGAGACCCGACUCUCCCCACCACUUGCCCUCCUUUUCCUCCUCCCCACACGGAUCACCAUACGCACAGGGCCGCACCGCUCACUCAGAACAUGUUAUAUAUAUAUAUAUCAUGUUGUAGAGGGGCAGACAGGACGUUGUCUCUCUCUCUCUCUCGCUUUCUUUUUUUUUUUGUUAGAAUCACGUAGAGACGCGAACGCAGGCAGGCGACAAGGGAAAAGGAGGGAGAGAUGUUUGAAAGAUUCGCAUGCCUGUGUGCGUGUGCGGUGCACUGAUUUAGUGAAAGAAUAGAGGCGAGCAUGACAUGCUUGCUGCUGUUGUUGUCAGUGCGUUGUGUUCGGUUAUGCAGGGGGCGGCGGCGGCGGGGAUGCGCCGUUGCCGUACCCCUUCCCUUCAUUCUUCUCUUUGGACCAUCAUAUGUUUCUCUCACAAAUAUACACACACUGAAUGGGCUUUUAUGUAGUGGCACUCAUGCAGCACCGGGAGGGGCGGCGGUAAGGAAAGAGGUUCAGAAUCAACAUCUGCAGAAGAAGCGCGGAUUUUCUUCCUGUGAUGUCUUCGUGCGCGUGCAGCUGUGCGCUUCAUCUCCCCGUGGUGCGUGCCCCGUCCCUCUCCCCGCCUCGCCGCUCUUUUUCAUGUCUUUGGGUGUGCAUUUUUUUCUUUUUUUUUGGAGGGGAGGGGGGGGGCCUUUGUCCAUUGAUUCUUGUUUAUUCAGCAUGUGUUCGUCCCUUCUUCCGCUCACGUCCGUUGUGUGCCCCCUCCCCUGCACCCCCCCCUCCUCCCCUUCUGCGUCUCUCUUCCUCUGCGUCUCUUGUCUGUGUGCGUGUGUGUCUGUGCCGAGGCCAAUAUCGGGAAAGCACAAAAAAAAAUUCACAAAAAAAUGAGAUGCAAUCCAACAGUGUCCCCCCUCCCCGUAGUGUCAAGCCCCUGCCAACCACAAGAUGGAAGUGACGCGGUCCAUCAAGGUAGGUAGCCGGCAACUCUCGAUGUGUACUCGAAAACGUACAAGGAUUUGUGUGAGUGUGUGUGUGUGUGUGCUCUCGAGGGUGACGCUGAGGAUCGGGGGGGGUCCUUGCUGCACACUUGAUAUGAUCUUCUCCAUCGCUCUCGUCGUGAGGUCGCAGCGCGCGAUGAGGGAGAGAGCAAAGCAGUAGAGCGAUAUCGUCUUUCGUACCGGAUGGCCGUUCUGGG
rnacentral:misc_RNA from 1 species